UACGAAGGGGGCUAGCGUUGCUCGGAAUCACUGGGCGUAAAGGGUGCGUAGGCGGGUCUUUAAGUCAGGGGUGAAAUCCUGGAGCUCAACUCCAGAACUGCCUUUGAUACUGAAGAUCUUGAGUCCGGGAGAGGUGAGUGGAACUGCGAGUGUAGAGGUGAAAUUGUAGAUAUUCGCAAGAACACCAGUGGCGAAGGCGGCUCACUGGCCCGGUACUGACGCUGAGGCACGAAAGCGUGGGGAGCAAACGGG
rnacentral:rRNA from 1 species